rfam:Vibrio harveyi ATCC BAA-1116 chromosome I, complete sequence.
UAUCACCAAGGAUUGUUUUUCUCGCAAAAUUUUUCCUGCGAGAUACGGAAAGGAAUCAAGACUGGUCAACCUCGGCCAGUGGCGAAUCAUAAAUAUAAAGGACAAG